rnacentral:rRNA from 1 species
GAUGAACGCUGGCGGCGUGCCUAAUACAUGCAAGUCGAGCGAACAGACGAGGAGCCUGCUCCUCUGACGUUAGCGGCGGACGGGUGAGUAACACGUGGAUAACCUACCUAUAAGACUGGGAUAACUUCGGGAAACCGGAGCUAAUACCGGAUAAUAUAUUGAACCGCAUGGUUCAAUAGUGAAAGACGGUUUUGCUGUCACUUAUAGAUGGAUCCGCGCCGCAUUAGCUAGUUGGUAAGGUAACGGCUUACCAAGGCAACGAUGCGUAGCCGACCUGAGAGGGUGAUAGGCCACACUGGAACUGAGACACGGUCCAGACUCCUACGGGAGGCAGCAGUAGGGAAUCUUCCGCAAUGGGCGAAAGCCUGACGGAGCAACGCCGCGUGAGUGAUGAAGGUCUUCGGAUCGUAAAACUCUGUUAUUAGGGAAGAACAAAUGUGUAAGUAACUAUGCACGUAUUGACGGUACCUAAUCAGAAAGCCACGGCUAACUACGUG